rnacentral:tRNA from 1 species
CGGGGUAUAGCUCAGUUUGGUAGAGCGCCGCUUUUGGGAAGCGGAAGUCGCAUGUUCGAAUCGUGUUACCCCGA